ensembl:lncRNA
GCAGAGAACGAGAGAGGAGCCACUUACCUGUAUCUCAAAACACUAUCUGGAUUGUGGGAGGCAGAGAAGGAGAGAGGAGCCACUUACCUGUAUCUCAAAACACUAUCUGGAUUGUGGGAGGCAGAGAACGAGAGAGGAGCCACUUACCUGUAUCUCAAAACACUAUCUGGAUUGUGGGAGGCAGAGAACGAGAGAGGAGCCACUUACCUGUAUCUCAAAACACUAUCUGGAUUGUGGGAGGCAGAGAACGAGAGAGGAGAGAGAGGAAUGGAGAGAGGGAUUAGAAGCUAAUCCAGGACACGGCCAAUCCCAGAGGAGCUCCUUUUCUUCCAAGACACAGACACAACAGUCGCACGGAUUACUGCACUUUAGUGUAUUGCCUUUUUUUUUAAAGAAGCAUUAUCCCUUUUGUAUAGUGUUUCAUUGUCCCUAAAUGCCUGGUGUCCCGGGCCUGUGGUAAAUGUGCUGAAUUCUACAACAAAGGAUAAAAGAGGACAACAGUCCCGGUGAGAGGGGAGCGAAGUGACAGGAUGUCCCAUGGACUGUCUGGUGCCACACGCAGAUAAAGCGCUUUAGUGGAGACGACAUGUGUGAACGGACCCCCUGCUCUUUCUGCUGGGUCUCAGAGGGACUGAAAGCUGAACACCCCUGUGGACUGUACAUUCAAGAUCAAACUUCUAUGAGUGAAUACUAAAACGACUGAGUGGCUAGUGAGUGACAGGUUGGAGAUAUUUUAGUUGUUGAUUACAGGGGAGAAUAAGGUGAGGUUGCUUUCAAAGCAGGAUUACAAAUUAGUUUCUGGAAAAACUUACUGUAUCUGAAGGGAAGAAGGACUUGAUUGAGGAGACUUGCGGCAGCCUAGAAACCUCUAUCAUUAACUGGAAGGAUCUGAGUUCAUGUGUGUAGGUGCAUUAGAGAAGAUUAUUAGCUGACAAUCAAAGGUGUCAGCCUAUUGAGUCACUCCUCAAUAAGCCAUAUCUAAAGUGACCUGGUUGGUGAGAGUUGUUGUCUUGGUGUUGUGUUGGUGUUGAAACCUGUAGUGGUGAGAAGAGAAAGCACUGGGUGAGAGUGAGGUGGUAAUAAAGGUUGUUUUAAAGCUGACAUAAUCCCAUUACAGUUCCUUAAAAAGUUAUUUAUAAUCUCCAACAACUUUAUUGGACAGAGCACACAGGGCCAAGCAGCUUAAACAUAACCACUUUCAGAUGUAUAACACAGCCUGACUCCUAUCCACUGUAUUGUGUACUGGAUGGUUUUCACAGAAAGGGGUCUCUAGGUAACACUGCCUGACUCCUAUCCACUGUAUUGUGUACUGGAUGGUUUUCACAGAAAGGGGUCUCUAGGUAACACAGCCUGACUCCUAUCCACUGUAUUGUGUACUGGAUGGUUUUCACAGAAAGGGGUCUCUAGGUAACACUGCUGGCUGUCCAGCUUUGACAAAAGAUAUUGGUGCUCAUUUUAAAGGUAGGUAUAGACUUCAGUUUGGACUGAUCCUAAAAAGACAAGAACAAGAAUAUUUUGUAAAGCCUCAUUGCUUAACUUUGAGAGGGAAGUUUAAGGACCUGUAUAUUUUUGUUGCUGAAGGGAAAGGUGCAUUUAAAUGACCUAAUUAUAGAAAUUGCUGUGCACAUCUAAGAUUGAUUUAGCUCUAGAAACGUUCACAGGUAUGAGCUUGCCAACAGAGAGAGCAUCAUAGUUAUAUUGUUAGUGUU